AGUCCCUGAGUUAGCUGACCGCCAGGGCAGGGAGGCCAUGUUGCUCCACACUUUUUUGAAGAAGGCCUUACCUUGAUUCCAUAUGUUUCAGAAUUAGCUGUGUCAUCUACAAGAGAAGGCCAAAGGUACACAUUUUACAAAUGAAGGAAGAGGCAACCCCAUGGACUGAAAUGUUCUCUGAAGUAGAAUUGACCGCAAUCAGGCCUGGCAGGCCUGGAGCAGAUCCUGACUGCAGCAGGUGCUGUCGUGGUAAGAGUGAGUCAUCUCCGGAUCUGGUGGUUUAGGAGUGUGUGGCACCUCCCCCUUCUCUUCCUGCUGCUCCAGGCAUGAGAAGUGCUCGCUCCCUCUUUGCCUUCCGCCACGUUUGUAAGUUUCCUGAGGCCUCCGAAGCCGAGCAAAUGCCAGCAUCAUCCUUCCUGUACAAGCCUGCAGAACUAAUGAGUCGCAUGGCUUCACACAGGUGUCAAGGAGCCUGGCAAGCUCCCUGCUGGGAGCCAUUUACCAGCUGCAACUCCACCCUACGGAAGAGAGAGUAGGCAUCUGGGUGGACAAUGAGUUGUUCCUGCCACCAGGAUCUUAUGUUUAUUCACUGCCAUGAUGACCUGAAUUAUUUUGGAUAGAAGACACUUCAGGAUUCAAUAGGAAGGAUCAGUGAGGCAACAGGAGUGGCGGCAGAGAAAGAACCACUAUGAAGUUUAAAGAGACACUUAGAAACAGAAUGGUCAUGAACAACGCCCAUAUAUGUUUUUUCAUUCCUUUAUUUUCAACCUCUCUGAAUCAACAUUGGAUUUUGAAGCCCCAUCUGAGUAUUUGCCAUUUAUCAGCAUUGAGGACAGGGCCCUCUCCGAGACUGAGGAGAUAAAGCAGUGGGUAUGCAUCGAGUGCUGAUUCCAGAACAGCAGGUGGCCUUCACUCUACAGGCAGGAGUCUGGCACACCUUGGCUCCAAAAGGAUCCCCUUGGCUGUGACUGUCCCUCAUGGGAGAAAAGGAGAGCAGGAUGACUCCAGCAGCCUCAGCCACCACAGACAUCUGCCUCUUUUACCCUUGAGGACUUCAACAGUUUUCACAGAUGCCGAUCCAAGCCAAUGGGCCUGCGUGGAGUCCACACCACUGCACCUACUCUGAAGAAGAAGCCACCACUCCAGCCUUGGCACCACCAUGCCUGCACUGUACCCUCAACUCUGACACCAGGAGGGAUCCCCUUGGUCAUAACUUCCCCCAUGAGGGAAAAAGGAGAACAGGAAGAUCUGCAUCCGCCUUCACUACCAAGACCCCACAAUCUUUGCCAACACUAACCCAAGCUGACUGCUUGGAGUCCACAGCAUUGCACACGCACCCCACCCCCAGGGCCAGAGUUAUCGGUGCAUUCUCCUAGAGCCAAAGCCACCACACAGAAUCCAGCCACCUCCCUCACACUCAACCAUAGGUGAGGGUGUUUCCCCACCAAAGCCAGUUAAUAAAGACUGGAAGAGGUGAUUUCUUCUUCAAAUGCACAGACAUUAAUGCAAGACUCCAAGGAACAUGAAAAAUCAAGGAAACAUGACACAACUAAAGGAACAUAAUAAAUUUCCAGUAAGUGGCCCCAAGGAAAUAGAGAUCUAAAACUGUCUAACAAAGAAGUCAAAAUAAUUGUUUUAAAGAAGAUCAGCAAACUACAAAAGAAGACAAAUAGGCUGGGCAUGGUGGCUAAUGCCUGUAAUCCCAGCACUUUGGGAGGCCAUGGUGGGUGGAUCACCUGAAGUCAGGAGUUCGAGACCAACUUGGCCAACAUGGUGAAACCCCAUCUCUACUAAAAAUACAAAAAUUAGCUGGGCAUGGUGGUGCACACCUGUAAUCCCAGCUACUCAGGAGGUAAUCCCAGCUGGCUCAGGAGGCUGAGGCAGGAGAAUCACUUGAAUCCGGGAGGCAGAGGCUGCAGUGAGCCGAGAUUGCACCACUGCACUACAGCCUGGGCGGCUGAGUGAGACUCCAUCUCAAAAUAAAUAAAUAAAAGAACACAGAUAGACAACUCAACAAAAUGAGGGGGGAAAUACAUGAAUAAAAUGAGAACAAUAAAGAGGUAGAAAUUAUAAAAACAACCAAACAGAAAUUAUGCAGCUGAAGAAUUUGAUGAAUAAAAUGAAAAAUGCAAUAGAAAGCCUUAACAGCAGACUCAAUCUAGCAGAAAAAAGAAUCUGUGAACUUGAAGAAAGGACAUUUGAAAUUAUCCAGUCAGAGACAAAGAAGAAAAAAGAAUUAAAAAGAUUGAAGAAAGCCUAUAAGAUUUAUGGGACAUAAACAAGCAACCCAGUAUAUAUAUUAUGGUAUUCCAAAGAGAACAGAGAAAGAAAAGGGCAACAGGCUUAUGUGAAAAAUAAGGUCUGAAAAAUUCCCAAAUCUUGAGAGGAAAAUGGACAUCCAGGUUCAUGACUCCCAAAUCACCUCAAAUAGGAUCACACAAAUUAAGAAUACUCUGAGACACCUGAUAAUUAAAUUGUCAAAAUUUAAGGACAAAGAGAGCAUUUUGAAAGCAGCAAGAGAAAAGUUGGAACCCCCUACUAGCAGAUUUCUCAGCAGAAACCUUGCAGGCAAAAAGAGAGUGGGAUAAUAUAUUCAAAAUACUGAAAGGAAAAAAAAAAGCUGUCGACCAAGAAUACUAUACCCAGCACAAUUAUCCUCUUUAAAUAGAGGAAAGAUAACGUGUUUCCCAGACAAAAACUGAGGAAGUUCAUCACCACUAGAUUUGCCUUAAGAAAUGCUUAAGGCAGGUCCUCAAAUUGAAAUGAAAACACACUAAACAACAACACAAAUCAUAUGAAAGCAUUAAUCUCACAGGUAAGGGAAAAUAUUUGGAUAAAUAUAAAAUAAUAUAAUAGUUGUAAUGAUGGUGCACAAAUCACUUUUUGCCCUAAUAUAAAAGUUAAAAGAUAAAAAUUUGUUAACAGAUACCCGGUAUAAAAAGCAAACUUUACAGGCAUGAUGGCACACACCUGUGGUCUCAGCUACUUGGGAGGUUGAGAUGGGGGGAUCACUUUAGCCUGGGAAGUGGAGGUUGCAGUGAGCCAAGAUCAUGCCACUGCACUGCAGCCUGGGUGACAGAGUGAGACCCUAUCUCAGAAAAAAAGAAAAAAAAAAGCAAACUCUUUCUACAAAAACACAAAGAGGGGAGAACAAAAGUGUGGAGUUUUUGUAUGUAAUUAAAUUGUUAUCAACUUAAAGUAGACAAUUAUAAGAUAUUUUAUGUAAGCCUCAAGCUAAUCACAAUGAAGAAAAAGCAAUAAUCGAUACAAAAAAGAUAAAGAGAAAAUAAUGAAAGCAAAUCAAUGCAAAAAAUCAUGAAAUAAAGGAAAACAGCAAAAGAGGAAGAGGGACAAAACAACCACAAAACAGACAGAAAACCAUUUACAAAAUGACAAUAGUAAGUCCUCACCUAUCAAUAAUUAUAUUAAAUGUAAAUGAAUUAAACUCCCCAGUCAAAAGGCAUAGAGUGGUUGAAUGGACUUAAAAAACAAGAUCCAGUGGUACGGUGUCUGCAAGAGAUUCACAUAAGCUGGGCAUGGAGCAUGGGGAAGUCAAGGCUGCAGUGAGUCAUGAUCACACCACUGCACUCCAACCUGGGUGACAGAGUGAGAUCCUGUCUCAUAAAAAAAAAAAAAAAAAAAAAAAAACAGAAGAAAGAAGACAAUUCGAUUCACAAUAGCAACAAAAAGAAGAAAAUACUUAGGAAUGAACUGGUAAAAGACUUGUACGCUAAAAUUUAUAAAACAUUAAUGAAGGAAAUGAAAGAAGACACAAAAAUGGAAAGAUGUCUGUGUUCAUGGAUUAGAAGAUAGAAGAAUUAAUACUGUUUAAAUGUGCAUACUAUUGAAAAUAACCUACAGAUUCAAUGCAAUCCCUAUCAAAAAUCUCAAUGGCAUUUUUUAUAGAAAUAAAGAAAAUCCAAAAAUUCAUAUGGAACCACAAAAGAUCACAAAUAGCCAAAACAAUCUUGAGCAAGAAGAACAAAGUGGGAAGCAUCACACUUCUUGACUUCAAAAUAUAUUAUAAAGCUACAGUAAUCAAAAUAGAAUGCUUUACUAACAUUAAAAAAGACAUAUAAACCAAUGGAACAGAAUAGAGAGCCUGGAUAUAAAUUCACACAUCUACAGUCAACUGAUUUUUAACAAAGGUGGCAAGAGCACACAAUUAGGAAAAGAUAGUCUCUUCAACAAAUGGUGUUGGGAAAACUAGAUAUCCGCAUGCAGAAAAAUGAAAGUGGAACUUAUCUCACACCGUAUACACAAAUCCACCCCAAAGGGAUUAAAGACUUAAAUGCAACCUCUAAAGCCAUAAGAUUAUUAGAGGAAGACAUAGGGGAGAAUCUUCCUGAUGUUGGUCAGGGCAAUUAUUUUUUAGAUAUGACACUGAAAGCACAAGCAACAAAAUAAAAAUAGACAAUUGAAAUUGCAUCAAACUGGCCAGGUGCGGUGGCUCACACCUGUAAUCCCAACACUUUGGGAGGCUGAGGUGGGUGAGUCACAAGGUCAGGAGAUCGAGACCAUCCUGGCUAACACAGUGAAACCCUGUCUCUACUAAAAAGACAAAAAAUUAGCUGGGCGUGGUGGCAGGCGCCUGUAGUCCCAGCUACGCAGGAGGCUGAGGCAGAAGAAUGGUGUGAACCUGGGAGGCAGAGCUUGCAGUGAGCCGAGAUCACACCACUGCACUCCAGCCUGGGCGACAGAGCAAGACUCCAGCUCAAAAAAAAAAGAAAGAAAAUGCAUCAAACUAAAAAGCAUCUGUGCAGCAAAGGAAACAAUCAACAGAGUGAAAAGGUAACCUACAAAAUGGAAUAAAGUAUUUGCCAACUACAUGUCUGAUAAAGGAUUGAUAUUCAAACUAUAUAAAGAGCUAAUAAAACUUAAUAGCAAAACAAAACAAAUAACGUGAUUUUAAAAAAGGAAGAAGGAUGUAAAUAGACAUUUUUCAAAAGAAAACAUACAAAUGGUCAAUAGGCAUAUGAAAAGAUGUUCAAUAUCGCUAAUUAUCAAGGAAAUGCAGAUGAAAACCACAAUGAGCUAUCACUUCACACCUGUUAGAAUAGCUACUAUAAAAAAGACAAAAGAUAAGUAUUGGCGAGGAUGCAGAGAAAAGGGAACUCUUGUAUACUGUUGGUGGGAAUGUAAAUUGGUACAGCCAUUAGGGAAAACUGUAUGGAAGUUCCUUCAAAUAAUAACUACUUUAUGAUCCAGCUUCUGGCUAUAUAUCCAAAGGAAAUGAAAUCAGUAUGUCUUCAAGGUAUUUGCACUCCCUUGUUCAUUACAGUACUAUUCACAAUAGCCAAGAUAUGGAAGUAACCCCAAUAUCCAUUAACAGAUGAAUAAGGAAAAUGUGGCACACACACACACACACACACACACACACACACACAAUGGAAUAUCAUUUAGCCUUUAAAAAGAGAAGGAAAUCCUGACAUUUAUGACAACAUGGAUAAAUGUUGGACAUGGAUAAAUGAGGAGAUUAUGCUAAGUGAAAUAAGUCAGACACAAAGACAAAUACUGCAUGAUCUCACUUAUAUGUGGAAUCUAAAACAGUCAAGCUCAUGGAACUACAGAGUAGAAUGUUGCUGCUAGAGGCUGGGGGAGGGGUAAAUGGUGAGAUGUUGGUCAAGGGACACAAAGUUUCAGUUAUGCAGGAUGAAUGAGAUCUAGAGAACUAAUAGACAUAGUUAACAAGGACAUAGUUAACAUAGAACAUAAUUAACAAGGCUGUAUUAUAUGCUUGAAAUUUGCUAAGAACUGUAAAUCUCGUUUUCUCACCCCUCCCAAAAAAGAACAAGAAAAGAUCAUGGUAAUGAUAUGAAAUAAUAGAUACGUUCGUUAACUUGAUUAUGGUGAUUAUUUCACAAUGUAUACAUAUUUCAAUAUAUUAAGAAGUCAUACACUUAAAUAUAUACAAUUUUUAUUUGUCAAUUAUUCAUCAGUAAAGGUGCAAGGAAAUAUUCAAUAUUUUUUAAGUUAAAGGAGAACAAAAUAAAUACACAAAAAUUAGAUGGCAGUGCUCUUGAAAUGGGUGUGGGGAUGUGUGUGGAGAGGGUGGGUGCUGCGUGGGGCUUGAGUGGGGCCACCCUGCUUGUGUCCAGCUGGGCUGAGUGAUUGUCUAAGGCCACAGCAAUUACACACACUCCCUAAGGGAACUCUGUCUACAACUAGGCAGAAAUGAUGGGAACCAUGAAUUUGAUGGUAGGCCAUGAAUUUGAUGUCUUUAUUUGAUGUAAGCCUAUUUGGCUGCUGUUAAGUAUUGGGUUUUUCUUAUAACCUCCAGUAAUUAGAAAUAAAUGAGGACUGUAGGUACCCUCCCACAAAACCCAGCCAGCAGAUGGUGCCUUACAAGGCAAGCAAGCUUCAGACUGAACUCUACCACACCUAAAACAUCAAGCUGGAUCAAAGAGUCAGGAACCUGUUCUUGAAAGCUCAGUGGAGCCCCAGCUCUCUGACCCUUAGGCAGUCUACUAAAUGUCUUGCAUGAGGGCUCAUCCCCGGUAGAUAAAAUAUUCUAAGGGGUGGAUACAGUCAACCUUCUAGCUAAAUCACAUGGCAGAAUCCUCCACUACGUGGCAGGAUGUGGGACCAAAUCACAGUUCAAGGCCAUGAAUGCUACUCUGCUAUACCCACAGAUAUUACACCUGUAAAUCAAAAAGUGUCUGAGACAGGUCUCAAUCCAUGCUGAAGUUUAUUUUUCCAAGGUUAAGGACAUUCCAGUGGCACAGCCUCAGGAGGUCCUGCGAACAUAUACCCAAGGUGGUUGGGCUACAACUUGGUCUUACAUGUUUUAGAGAGACAUAAGAUAUCCAUCAAUACAUGUAAGAUGUACGUUGCUUCUGUCCAGAAAGGCAAAACAACUCAAAGGGGUGGGUGUGGGGGGACUUACAGGUCAUAGGUGGAUUCAAAGAUUUCCUGAUUGGUAAUUGGUUGAAAAAGUUUAUCUAAACACCUGGAAUCAAGAGAAGGGAGUGUCUGGGUAAGAUAAGAGAUUGUGGAGACCAAGGUGUUUAUUAUGCAGAUGAAGCCUCCAGGUAGCAGGCUUUAGAGAGAAUAGAUUGUAAAUGUUUCUUAUCAGACUCCCAGUUAAUUCUCUCCUGAAUCAGGAAAAUGACCUGGAAAGGGAAGGGGAUUCUCUACAGACCAUAGAUUUUCCCCACAACAGAGAGCUUUGCAGGGCCAUUUCAAAAUGUGUCAAAGAAAUACAUUUGGGGGUAAAAUACUUUGAUUUCUUUU
rnacentral:lncRNA from 1 species